UGCCAGCUGGGUAAUUUGCAGAGAAAGGCAGGGAACUAGUGGAUUUUUUGUUGUUAUUUUUCUGGGUAGCUGUAACUAUGGCAAGGAAACUUGAUUCAGUGUGAAGAGAGGUCAGAAAUACCAGACUGAAAAUUUCAUGCAUGUUCUGUUUAAAGCCUCAGCUGCCAGGCUUUGAGCAAGAGAGAAGUAAAGGCACCAGAGUCCCCAGUUUUCAAAGGCUUUUUAAAAGCCUUUUCUGUUUAAAGUUGGAGUUACUUGAAAACCUAGACCUGGUGUUACAUGACCUUGUGGGCUAGGACUGUAAAAUAGUCAGAGCUUGUAGAAAGGCUGUCUAUAUCUUGUUCUGAGUGUCACCAAGAAAUGAGAGUGUGAGUUUGGGACAGGAGCUCAGGCUUCUCCCAUGCUGGGGACAUUACAAAGGUGCCAGAUUUUUCCAAAGACCCUGAUCCCACUAAGAACCUCAAAUAAGCGGUGAGGGUUUGAAGAGAGCUGUGUCUGGGGGGGUGCUGAGCUCUCUGGACUACUGUACAAUGGAGUUUUGGGGUGCUGGGCUCCUCUGAAAGUCUGCUCUCUUGGGUGGCAGAGAAGUGAGCUUUCUCUCUGUAGGAGGAGGGAUUUAUGGCUCCCUUCUGGGUGCCGAGCAGGGGGAAAUGUGGACUUAAAGCUUCCUGGAAAAAUCUGCCCCUGUGAAUGUUGUUUCUUGUUGGCUGUAUCUUUGCUGAAAUAAAGAUGCCUUUUUUUUUUUUUUUAAACAGCAAAGGUUGGUACCUUAGUCCACAGGGACAGAGCCUCCUCAUGCUGUGCUCCUGUUUAUCUGACAGUGCAAAGGGUGGUUACACCAUGAUAUUUAUAUGCUUCUAGGAGGAAAAGCAGCUCACUUCAAUUACAGGGAUUAAUGGGGAGGUUUAGGUGCUGCUCCCACAUCUGAAACUUUUCAAUGUGUUAUUUGAGAUGCCCUGUAUCCUGCUAGCUUCCAGCAUAGAUGAAAACAGCAUAAAGAAAGUUGUCACUGUUUACUGUCCUUUCUCUUCACUUGCUGGUUUGUUUUUUUUUUUUCAAAGUCCCUGAUUCUAGCCAAUAUGGGAUGUUCCUGUGCUAACAAGUGGCUCCAGCUGCAGGUAGUUACCUUUGGGGUUUUGAGGAGAGGCAGAUGUGGGCUCCCUACCUGCCCUGGUUCCAGCUGACCUGGGAGCAAGUGGCUUCCUCGUGUGGGUGAACUGAGCACCCAGUCCUGGGGAGGGCACGUAUGAAGGUCGCAGGAGAGGCUGCCGGUGCGAGGUGUGCUUGGCCCUUGUGUGCAGCAUCCCGGGCAUCCCGUACGUGGCACAGCUCAUCUCUGUCUCUGCCCCUUGGAGCGGGUGAGCUGGGCUCUGGGGUCACACUGGGAGCAGAAGAGCUGAGCCACAGGGGACUGAUUCUUCCCAGGGGCUGGUUCCUGCUCCAAACUCUGUUGGACCCUGUGCCUGGAGCAGCACUGGGAAAGCACCCGAGUGUUGCUGUAACCUGGAAUUGCACUGGGAAGAGAGUCAGGAGCAGGCAGGCAGGGGAGAGCUGGGCAGUGCCUGACACUCUUCCUUGGCAGCGGGUGAAGUUCCUGGGGUUCUCCUCUCCGUGUCCCCCCUCCUGGCCUUGUACCAUGACUGUUCCUUGGGACAGAAAUGGGUUCCCUGCACUGAAUCAUCUCCUUUUAGAAUCAUCUCCUUUUAGCUGUCUUAAUUGAGUCUGUGCUGUGUCAUCUCUCCCUGCUCUUUAUUUAAUAGAGCGCAGGCAGCCAAGACAGAGCUGAAAUGAAGCUGCUGACUCCUGCCUGGUGUUGAGGAGCAGGAGCUACAAUUUCUUCUCAGUUUUUGUGUGCUAUUUCCAGCAUAUCAUUGCCCCUGUUCCUGCCUCCCCCGUGACGCCCAUCCCCAGAGCAGCGGGAAUUGUUACUGCUCUGGCUAGUGAUGCUGGCUGGAUGUCAGGCUGUUUUCAGCUCAGCUUUGCAGCCCCUUUUCUCACUUUGGCUGGCACAUGGCAGGACUGCCCUGUGUUUAUCUGGCGUGACAUUUGGGAUCGGUCUCUGCACGAGCUUCUGAGGCAGAUCUGGAACUGCAGGAUUAAUGGAGACGCAAUGAAAGCGUAGCCAGCCCCCUCCCGUGGGCAGGGACCGAUGCUGCCUCGCCCCGCCAGCCACCAUGGAGCUAGCUAAUACCAAAGAUUUCCAGUGGAAAACCCUCGCCCCGCUCCCGAGCCGCAGGGUCUACUCGACCUUGGUGGAAGCCGGCGGGCAGGUGUUUGCCAUCGGGGGCUGCGAUGACAACGGUGUCCCCAUGGAUUGCUUUGAGGUCUACUCCCCCGAGGCCGACCAGUGGACCUCGCUGCCCCCCAUGCCCACGGCCCGGGCCGGGGUGGCCGUGGCCACUUUGGGCAAGAGGAUCAUGGUGAUAGGAGGGGUCGGAGUGAAUCAGAUGCCGCUGAAGAUAGUGGAGAUGUACAACAUAGAUGAGGGCAAGUGGAAGAAGAGGAACUCGCUGAGAGAAGCAGCCAUGGGCAUCUCGGUGACGGCAAAAGACUAUAGAGUCUAUGCGGCUGGUGGGAUGGGAUCUGACCUGAGGCCGCACAACUACCUGCAGCACUACGACAUGCUCAAGGACAUCUGGGUGUCGCUGGCGGCCAUGCCCACACCCAGGUACGCUGCCACAUCCUUCCUGCGAGGCACCAAGAUCUACGUGCUGGGUGGAAGGCAGUCCAAGUAUGCUAUCAAUGCCUUUGAGGUCUUUGACACAGAGACCAGGUCGUGGACCAAGUUUCCCAACAUCCCCAACAAAAGGGCCUUCUCCAGCUUCGUGCCCACAGAAGACAAACUCUUCAGUCUCGGGGGCCUGCGGCAGGGACGGCUCUACCGGCAGCCCAAGUUCAUGAGGACCGUGGACAUGUUUGAUAUGGAACAAGGUGGCUGGAUGAAGAUGGAGCGCUCCUUCUACCUGAAGAAAAGGCGAGCAGACUUCGUGGCUGGCUACCUGAAAGGCAGAGUCGUUGUGGCUGGGGGGCUAGGAAACCAUCCGACCGUCCUGGAGUCCGCAGAGGCCUUCCACCCCGAGAAGAACAAGUGGGAGAGCUUGCCCCCCAUGCCCACCCCACGCUGUGCCUGCUCCAGCAUCGUGAUCCGGAACUGCCUGCUGGCUGUCGGCGGGGUGAGCCAGGGCCUGAGCAGUGCCGUGGAGGCCCUGUGCCUCUCCGAUUCCUAGCUGGCUCCUGCCCGGUGGAGGAACUUGCCCCUCGCUGCCUCCAGCAGUGGUGGUGGUGGUGCUGGUGGUGGUGGUGCUGGGCAGCUCUCAGCAGUGCUGAGGCUGGGUGAGCACCAUCCGAGCUGGCCUGGGAGCCUGGCAGCUCAGCUCUGCCUGCCUGUAGCUAAACCCAGCCUUGCUCUGGAGCCAUGGCUGGCAGGAGCCCGCAGCCAGGGCUGCUCUUCCUCUUCCUCCUGGGUGCUGCCGUUCCAUGCCAGGAUCCCCCUCCCAGUUGUCUUCAGAGCUCUACGGGGAAACCCAGAUGAAGGAACUGCUCGCAGCGCUGGUGUGCCAUGUCUCUUGCCGGCAGGAAGGACUCUGGAGAUAAGGGCAUUGGCAAGUGUCUCCCUGCGGCCAUCCUGACCCACUACCGAAGGCGAUGGGUUUGAAGGUGUUAGGAGUGUCCAGACAGGUCAGUGGUGGUUCAGGGAAAACUGUUGUGAUGUUGCCCUCUUUGAGCAUCCUGGGAUCUACGCGUGCUUCCCUGCACAGAUCCCCUUGGCUUGCAACACGGGAAACUCCUAACCUGCAGCCAGAUCCGGGGGAUCGUUCUUUUGCCUUCAUAGCAAGGCUUUUCCUGCAAACCUGUAGCAUUUGACUGUCACUUUGCCAGGAGCUGGAGCAAGGGGCUGCCAAUGCUCCUGGGAGGGAUGAAUGCCCAAGGGACUGUUUUGGCUAGAGGGAAGACCUUAUGUUUGGCACAGAUACUGCCUUUGCUGGGUUUCACGCAGAGAUGACCUCAACCUACAAUAUUCCAACCCUGUUUUUAGCUCCUUUAAUGAUUUGGGAUCUUCUGUUCAGCCCAGGGAGAAAGGAGCAAAACUGAGCCUUGCCUCUGGUUCUGGAGCACUCUCACCCCAGGGCUGGGCAGUGGCCUUGGGGAUGGCUUUGUUGGCCAUCGCCUCCUCGUUGGUUUCGUUCUUCCCAGGCGGUUUGCGGGAGGGCCGUCCAAACCGUCGGGUUACAAUUCUAGCUUGUAGCAGUUGCACCAUUAAAAGCUGUCUUCAGAAAAACCCUCGGAGAAGGCUGGCUGUGCUCCGGGCUGCAUCAGGACUGUCAUUGUAUGGAAAAGCUGGGACCCGGACUGAAAAGGGGGGGGACGGGGUGGGGGGCUAGUGCAGGCAGCCGUCCCUGGGGUCGGUGGGCUCUCCCGUGCCUUGGGCACUUGCCCCAUCGCUUGUUCCUUUCCGCGGUGUCCCAUCCCUCUUUUUGCAAGCGGUUCCUGGGCUGCAGGGAGAGGUUUUGGAGGAGGCGGUGGGGGGGGGGUCCCGGGGGCAGCUGCGGGGCUCUGCCGGGGCCGGACCCGCUCCCGCCGCUGCGGAGCACCGAGGACACCGUGCGGCGGCCGCCGCAACGGCAGGGGAUGGGGAUGGGGAUGGGGAUGGGGAUGGGGGGGCGGCGCGGGGCUGGGAAACCCCCGAGCUGGGCUCCCCGGGGGGGGGCAGGGACCGGCCCCUCUGCCUGUAUCUCCUCCGAGCAUCGCUCCUCCGGUGAGACCGGGCUGGGGCUGGCUCCUGCCCCUUCGCGGGGGGGGUGUCCGUUCCUGUCUGCCGGUAUUUGUGAGGAAGCCAGUGGUUCCUUUUGAAGUGCAGCCCUGUCAGCUCCGAGUCCCCUCUCUCUGAGCCCCAAAGUGCAGUGUAGCUCAGAGGAAAGGGGAAAGGCACCAACUCCGCAGCUAAUAACCUGCUCGCUAAUUAUUUACAUCCCACCUGCUUGUCCCUGGCUGCGUACAUAGGCACAACAGUGUUUGUCCCCAUCCCUUGUCACGUUCCCAUCUGUGGUCCUGAUGCUUUGUUUGUCCAGGUGCCGUGUUCUGGAAGGCUGUGUAGAUGCAAAUAUCUAACUGCAGAAAGGAGCUCUACCCUGAUGCGGAUACGCAGCUCCGGCCAGGGUGGAGGAGUUGCCCGCAGCAAUGCUGGGUUGUGUUCCAGGCCUCCGGUGAGGAGCACGGAGCCCAGCAGAGACAAUCUUGACAUAGUGCAGUUGAGCAGGGCUCCAGGGUGAGACCUGCUGGGGGGUGAGGCUGCAGGGAAGGGUGAGUGGGGCACCGGGGCCAGGUGUUUUUGUGUAACAGCAUCCCUGGAUGAUUAAAGGUCUGCUGGGUCUAGCAGAGCUGAGGGAAGGUGCUAAGAGCACCCCUCUCUGUGUGUGCAGCCCUGGGGGUGCUGCCUCCUGACCCUAGAAGGCUCAUAAAACAUCCCUUUGAACUGUAAAAAAUUGGAGGAGGAUGGAAGAGGCUUGGAAGGAAAGAGGGAGCCUUCUCGCCUUCUAGAACAAACCCUGUGUCUCCUGGCACAGCAGAUCGCCAUUUCAGCUGCCUCUGCACAGCUGAGAGUCUCUAGCUCUUAAUGAAGUGUUUUCCUUUGUCCUUAAGGAACCUUUCCCACACACAGCACAGCCUGAUGCUCCUCUGCUCUUGCUUUCUCAUUAGCCCUGAGCCCUGUUUGUUGCAGUGAGGCCGCGCUGGUCGAGGCUCAGGGUUCGGUGCUGCUGGGCUGGCUUUGUUAAGCUGGAGCAAGGGGAGGAGGAAUCUGUUCCCUUUGUCUGGCUGCAGCACAGCUGGAGGCUGAUCCUUUGCUUUCUCCCUCCAGAAAGGCUGGAGAGAGUGACAGACAAAGCAGUGUCAUGGGAGUAAACCCGCUCUAGGACUUAAUGAAGAGAUGGGGGACUGGGGACAAGGCUGGGGGUAGACGGUCAGUAAUCAAAGCUGGGGGGAUGUGCUGAGCAUUUAGAGAGGGAGAGAAAGAGGAGCUCUCCGAGUCGCAGCAUAGCGAGAAGCAGAUCCGGGUCAGCUGCCUUUGCGGUGAAACCCAAGCUCUCAUCACCAAACAGGAUCCCUGGUACGUCUGUCCCCAGAGCUGCUGUCUCCCCAGCCAGCAGCAGGUAGCUCUGCAUUGCUGGGGAUGCUUUUCCCCAUGCUGGUGCUAUGCAGAGUCAAGUUUUCACAAGAGCUUGAAACCUAGAUGUCAUUUGGACUUUUCCAGGUGUAGUUCCCACCCUGAGCAGCUCUCCCAGGGGUUUGUUUCCAUGUCUAUCCUGAUUUCAGCGACUGGGGGGCUUCCUGAGCAGCUGUGAGCUUUUGCUGUGACCCCUAGUGCACUCUGCAGCCACCUCCUGCUCUGACUGCUGGCUUCUUCCCAAAAUCUGCCAGGAAAAGCAGCUGCUGAGACUUCAGACACUUCCAGCACGCCUCCGCUGCACCGUGCUUCCAAAUAACACCCACUCGGAGACCUCUGUACCUGAAAAAUUGAAGCACUUUCCCUAGUAAUAAUGUUGUUUGCUUUUUACCGGCAGAUCAUAAAUGGCUUAGCAAACACAGAGAGGUAACCAGGCAGCAGGAAGGUGAGAAAAGCUGUACCUGUAAUUACGUGGUCAGUGGCAAAAGCUACGGUUAGAGGGUAGGUCUGAUCGGCCUCUGUGCUGGGCUCUGCUCGUGGGAGCCCACCACUUCGGUAUGGCCCCUCUGAUCUGGCUUUUGGUGGCUUGAGUUCAGCCUGGUCCCUAAUGGGGCUCAGGGACCUCCUGGGCUCUGCCAGUGCAUAACCCCUGCUGAAGGAACCUGGCUGUGUUUUCAAACUAAUUGUCUUUGAUUGUUUCAAGAAAAGGUUUCAAACUUUUAAGCAUGCUUUUGAGCUGGGUGGCAGAGCAGCCCAAGGUGGGGCUGGAGGAGCUCUGCUAAUUAAUCAUGGAAUAAGAGAUUUAAUGAGAUUGCAGCAGAAGCCAGGGAAAAUCAACCCAUAAUUCAAAACACAGAGUAUGUUACAGCCACUUGCCCUGGAACAGGCUAUUUGAGUGUCCACCCCAGAUGUCUGUGUAUACAGUGUGAAUGGCACUAAGCAAAAACAACCCGAUGGCAGAGACUCAGAGGUAAGCAUGUGUCCCAUCCACAGCACUUGCAUUGCAUCCCGAAAAUGGCUUGGUCAAUGCCAUUCCUGACCCCCAACCCCUGCUGGGCUUCCUUGCUAUUGCUGAACUUCUCUGGGGGCUCAUCCAUGGAUCUUCUCUGGACCAAGGGCAUCUCUCUCAUGGGGAUGAUGGGUGUCCAGCAAUCAGCAGUGAGCUGUUAGGCAGCACCAGGUUAUUUAAAGUUGCUUCUGGGCUUAUCAACAACUGGAAGGAGAUGUUGUGGGACUCCAGCCACAGCCACCUUCUUGCCAGCCACCCAGCCUCCUUUGAGAAGCAGCAGCCCUUCCCUGGCUCCUCUUGGCUCAUGGGAAAACCCUUCUAGCGGGGUUGAGAUUCCCUCCAGGAGCAGGUGAAAUCCUCCAAACUUUCUCAUUACCUCUACAGGCUUGAUGGUGGCAUUCACUAGUUCCAGCAUGCUGGCAGACAGGAGCUGGAGGAUUAAGUGUCUCCACUGAUGGUUCUCACAACUGCACCUUGAAUCCUGCUGUUCUGUGUUGUUCCUACUGCUGUGGGAAGUAGAAGACUGCAGGAGAUAAUCUGCUUUUGUUUGCAACAAAAGGGCUGUGCCUGCCCUCCAGGUGAUGGAGAUGUGACCCUGAGCCAAGGCUGGGGAGCAGGGAGGUGAAUCAGAUGCACCCUGACUGUGUGUGUAGGGUUGUUUGUUUUUAAGAAGUGCUGUGCUUGUUUGGGCUGAGCAGUGCUGGAUGGGCUCCCAGUCUCCUCCCAGUGCUCUGAACGGCAGAUGGCAUCCAUGGGCUGAGCCCAGGCUGGACCAGCACCUCCUGGCAGGCAUCCUGCUGGAGCUGGGGGGGCUGCCCUGCCCAGGUGGUGAUGGACUGUGCUGCUGGGAUCACAGACUGGCUCCAAAAUGCCUUUUUGGGUUGUGCAGGGAUCCUAGCUGAUCGCAUAAGGAUCCAUAACUUGAUAUGGAAAGGAUGUUAUGCAUCUCCUCUAGCAUUUCGUUCCCAUGAACAGGCAUCGCCCCUGAGUCUAGACACCUUGCAGUAGCUAUGACACGAGCUGAAUUCUGUUCUCGGGUCCCCCAGGCAGAUAGUCUGUAAUGCUGCUGCACAGUGUCAGUCAAGAUGUCUGUGGAGUUGAAUCCUGCUCUUGCUCGCACUGCUGCAGCUCCCUGAGCUCUGCAGCGAAUCUCUAGAGAUUAGAUAGCUGCAGCGUUUCUUUCCCCAGAUGCAUGUUGCCUGUGCUUUUCAGCAGAUGAUUCUAAGUGCUUCCAUCUUUGAAACUGAUACUUGGUGGAGCUUGUUGUGCCUGGAGGGACAAGGUAAAGCCUCAGCCGGGAAGUCCAGCCCAAUGAUCAAACCAGCCCCACGGAACGGGGCCUUAGAUGGGAAUUGCCAGCAGUGGAGGCAGGUACUGCUGUCUGAGCCACGGCUGUGACAAACAGAGCUGCUUCAGGAGAUUUCGGGGAGGUACUCGCAUGGAUUCACACAUUGCCCCAGCUCAGUGGGUGGCAGACACACACCAGGUCCCAUUGCAGCAUCUUGGGUUGCGUCGUUCCUCCCUCCCUGCUUUGUUCCAGAGGAGCUGCUGCCGUGGCUGGGGUCGUUCCUGCUCACAGAGAAGAGAGUUUGUGGCCUCGGCUGGCUGCUGCUGCCGCCCUGGUACGUUGGGCAGGGCUUCCCAAGGCCAACUGAAAACAAACUGUGGUGUUUGUUCUUCAGGGGCAGGGAAUUCAGUGAACUGUCCACCUCAUCUCACAUCGUCAGGAUUACUGGUGUCUGUUGUCUGACAUUGAAAACCUAUUUAGAUGCCAAUUCAGUAGUGUAUUUAAGGGGUGUGCUUAGACCUCAGUGUAGAAGACCUGUUGAUGUCAAAGCACGUUUGCUGAACCUGGCCUUUAAAUUGUGGAUGGUGAUGCAAAGGGAAUCUUUUAGAAAUAAAGCAAAUAAAUAUAAAAUAA